rnacentral:rRNA from 1 species
UACAGAGGUCCCGAGCGUUUGUUCGGAUUCACUGGGCGUAAAGGGUGCGUAGGUGGCUGGGAAAGUUUGAUGUGAAAGCUCAGGGCUUAACCCUGAAAUGGCAUUGAAUACUGCCUGGCUGGGAGGUUUGGAGGGGGGACUGGAAUUCUUGGUGUAGCAGUGAAAUGCGUAGAUAUCAAGCGGAACACCAGUGGCGAAGGCGAGUCCCUGGACAACUCCUGACACUGAGGCACGAAAGCUAGGGGAGCAAACAGG